GAUGAACGCUGGCGGCGUGCCUAAUACAUGCAAGUCGAGCGAACAGAUGAGGAGCUUGCUCCUCUGACGUUAGCGGCGGACGGGUGAGUAACACGUGGAUAACCUACCUAUAAGACUGGGAUAACUUCGGGAAACCGGUGCUAAUACCGGAUAAUAUAUUGAACCGCAUGGUUCAAUAGUGAAAGACGGUUUUGCUGUCACUUAUAGAUGGAUCCGCGCCGCAUUAGCUAGUUGGUAAGGUAACGGCUUACCAAGGCAACGAUGCGUAGCCGACCUGAGAGGGUGAUCGGCCACACUGGAACUGAGACACGGUCCAGACUCCUACGGGAGGCAGCAGUAGGGAAUCUUCCGCAAUGGGCGAAAGCCUGACGGAGCAACGCCGCGUGAGUGAUGAAGGUCUUCGGAUCGUAAAACUCUGUUAUUAGGGAAGAACAAAUGUGUAAGUAACUAUGCACGUCUUGACGGUACCUAAUCAGAAAGCCACGGCUAACUACGUG
rnacentral:rRNA from 1 species